AUUGAACGCUGGCGGCAGGCCUAACACAUGCAAGUCGAACGGUAGCACAGAGAGCUUGCUCUCGGGUGACGAGUGGCGGACGGGUGAGUAAUGUCUGGGAAACUGCCUGAUGGAGGGGGAUAACUACUGGAAACGGUAGCUAAUACCGCAUAACGUCGCAAGACCAAAGUGGGGGACCUUCGGGCCUCAUGCCAUCAGAUGUGCCCAGAUGGGAUUAGCUGGUAGGUGAGGUAACGGCUCACCUAGGCGACGAUCCCUAGCUGGUCUGAGAGGAUGACCAGCCACACUGGAACUAAGACACGGUCCAGACUCCUACGGGAGGCAGCAGUGGGGAAUAUUGCACAAUGGGCGCAAGCCUGAUGCAGCCAUGCCGCGUGUAUGAAGAAGGCCUUCGGGUUGUAAAGUACUUUCAGCGAGGAGGAAGGCGAUAAGGUUAAUAACCUUGUCGAUUGACGUUACUCGCAGAAGAAGCACCGGCUAACUCCGUGCCAGCAGCCGCCGUAA
rnacentral:rRNA from 1 species